CAGGUAUUAAAUCUGUUUAUAUGUGGGAGGGUGAGGUAAGAAUACCAUGCAUACUGAGUUAUAUCAUUAACUGAUAUUUUAUGACCAAUUCAACCGUCAGAUUAAUGCGAAUGAGCCUCAAUGACAUAUCAUAUGUGCAUUAGAAUAGAUUAAUCGCACAUAUGGUAUGCUGUGAAGCUCGUUAAUCUGGCUAUCAGGAUGAUUUGUUGUGGGGAGCUACUUUGCUGCACAAAGCCACCAAAAACCCAGCUUAUCUGAACUACAUUCAAGCGAAUGGUCAGACACUUGGAGCUGAUGAGACUGACAAUCCCUUUGGUUGGGAUGACAAACAUGUUGGGGCAAGAAUCUUAAUUUCCAAGAUCUGAUUUUUUCUUUUUCUUUCUAAUUUCUAUCCGUUCAUUUUUUUUUAUAUCUUUCAUACAAAACUUCACUCUUUGACUUCUUAGUAGCUACUAGUUACCAUUCAAAAAAAAAAAAAAAACCUUAGAAUCUGACUUCAUAGUACACUAAAAGCGGUUGCACUGAUCUGAAUUU